rnacentral:rRNA from 1 species
CCGGUUUGAACUCAGAUCAUGUAAAAUUUUAAAAGUCGAACAGACUUAAUAUAAAAGCUUCUACACCUUUAAUAAAUUUUAAUCCAACAUCGAGGUCGCAAUCAUUUUUUUUAAUAAGAACUUUAAAAAAAUAUUACGCUGUUAUCCCUAAGGUAAUUUAAUCUUUUAAUCAUAAAAAUGGAUCAAAUAAUCAAAUAUAAUUGUUUUUAUAAAAAAAAAGUUUAAUAUAUUUUUUUAUCACCCCAAUAAAAUAUUUAUAAAAUUAGUUUAUUUUAAAUUUUUAUAAAUAUAAAACUCUAUAGGGUCUUCUCGUCUUUUAAUAAAAUUUAAGCUUUUUAACUUAAAAAUAAAAUUUUAUUUUUAAAAUAGAGACAGAUAAUUUCUCGUAAAUUCAUUCAUUCCAGCUUUCAAUUAAAAAACUAUUGAUUAUGCUACCUUUGUACAGUCAUAAUACUGCAGCCAUUAAAUAAAUCAUUGGGCAGAAUAUACUUUAAAUUAUAUUCAAAAAGAAAUGUUUUUGAUAAACAGGCG